CCUACGGGAGGCAGCAGUGGGGAAUAUUGCACAAUGGACGAAAGUCUGAUGCAGCAACACCGCGUGGAGGAUGACACAUUUCGGUGCGUAAACUCCUUUUAUAUGGGAAGAUAAUGACGGUACCAUAUGAAUAAGCACUGGCUAACUCCGUGCCAGCAGCCGCGGUAAU
rnacentral:rRNA from 1 species